rnacentral:rRNA from 1 species
AUACGUAGGGGGCGAGCGUUGUCCGGAAUGAUUGGGCGUAAAGGGCGCGUAGGCGGCGCGGUAAGUCUGGAGUGAAAGUCCUGCUUUCAAGGUGGGAAUUGCUUUGGAUACUGCCGCGCUUGAGUGCAGGAGAGGUUAUCGGAAUUCCCGGUGUAGCGGUGAAAUGCGUAGAGAUCGGGAGGAACACCAGUGGCGAAGGCGGGUAACUGGACUGCAACUGACGCUGAGGCGCGAAAGUGUGGGGAGCAAACAGGAUUAGAUACCCUGGUAGUCCACACUGUAAACGAUGAAUGCUAGGUGUAAGAGGUAUCGACCCCUUUUGUGCCGGAGUCAAUACAAUAAGCAUUCCGCCUGGGGAGUACGGCCGCAAGGUUGAAACUCAAAUGAAUUGACGGGG